GACGAACGCUGGCGGCGUGCUUAACACAUGCAAGUCGAGCGGUAAGGCCUUUCGGGGUACACGAGCGGCGAACGGGUGAGUAACACGUGGGUGACCUGCCCCUGACUCUGGGAUAAGCCCGGGAAACUGGGUCUAAUACCGGAUAUGACCUCUCAUCGCAUGGUGGGUGGUGGAAAGUUUUUUCGGUCAGGGAUGGGCCGGCGGCCUAUCAGCUUGUUGGUGGGGUGAUGGCCUACCUAGGCGACGACGGGUAGCCGGCCUGGGAGGGCGACCGGCCACACUGGGACUGAGACAGGGCCGAGACUCCUACGGGAGGCAGCAGUGGGGAAUAUUGCGCAAUGGGCGGAAGCCUGACGCAGCGACGCCGCGUGGGGGAUGACGGCCUUCGGGUUGUAAACCUCUUUCGCCAGGGACGAAGAGUGAUUGACGAUACCUGGAUAAGAAGCACCGGCCAACUACGUGCCAGCAGCCGCCGUAACAC
rnacentral:rRNA from 1 species